UUUAACAUUAUUACUUGAGUAAGAUAAUACAUUGUUUUUUUUAGAGGCAACCAAUAAUACAUAAGUUAAUGAUGAACAAUCAUAUUAUAUAACCAUCAUUUACAACUUUUUUAAUAUUUUAAUUGCUUUUUAAAUUAUUUUCUCAUUGUUUUGCUUAUCAAGUUUGGAAUAUUCAAGCAUGACUAAAAUUUUGUACAUAAUUAUUUACUUAAAGAUGUUUAUGU
rnacentral:lncRNA from 1 species